ensembl:lncRNA
AAAAAUCAGAGGGGAGAGAAACCGUACCUCUGCCUUAAGUAAGGUGGCGUGCGAGAGCCCAUGUGUCAGCAUUUUGCUUGUUUUGCUGUUACUAUUCUACACUUCUUGUAUCUUGCUUUACUGCAAAAAUGGAAGAUUUUAUAUCUAUAACUACACUUUAGCCAAAGUAGCCUUUUAUAUGUUUGUGGUUGUUACACAUAUUAAAGCGUAAUCUCACGAUCUGACCUUAUGUAACCUACUUAAUUUUAAGUCAAUUUGGUCUUUUAUGGUGACAUGGUAAAUUACACGUAUAAUAAUUUGUGGUUGACAGAGUGGUACACUCUCAGCUCACUUCAAACAACCUCAUUGCUUUAAAAUCAGUUGAUGUUUUAUUGUUCUUUACUACACAUUUUAAUUUAAUUAUCCUAUUGUUUUAUUUUACUCAAUAAACAGAUCUAAAAUAAUAAACUUGCAUGUUUCUCAAGCCUCACACAUUGACAGUGGGACAUACGCAUUCAAACAGUUAAACGCCACACCUUGAGGAGGAAGUCACCAACCAAGUUGUCCUGGUUCGUGCACGUAUGGAUUUCCCCCUCGGCCACUGUACGUUCGUUGCUAAGCAAAAUAGAAUAGAAUACACACGUGACAGUUGGAGGCUUUUUAUACCACUUGAGGAGACCUGCUCAGUGGAAUUCAAGAAUGUGGCGGCACAGAGCAGGUGUAGGAAAACCUGGAGGACAGACCCAAAAGAGAGAAACCGGAAAUGAAGGGGGGGACAAGGAAUAGGAAAGACUGUUCAACAAAAAAUGUAGGUUGUGUUGAGAAUGGCUGGUUAUGAUUCAGCCAAGAAAAUAAUGUGUUACACUAAUUAUAGGACGUACAGAAGUGAAAAGGUUAAGGGGAUCAAUAGAACAAUGGAAGACCAUGAAAUUUCAGUUGGCCAUGUCAAAAGCAUUGCGAAAUGGACAAAGACAACAUCGUAUCCCUGCACCAGUUAUAUGCAAUGACUCUUUUUUUGUAUUUGUUUUAAUCAGUUACAUAUGUUUCAUUACAAAAGGAGCUUUACACACUUUUAUAAGAGCUGAAGAUUUGGUGACUGUCCAUAUACAUUUGAUGUAGUCUUCAUUUGUGUUGACAAUGGUCAUUUACAUUUGAAAGGAUUGUAGAUCCAGUUCUUCGAGUAAAUUAGAGCUAACCAUGGCUAACUUUAUUCAGGGCCUGAGCCGACUGCAAGUCGGGCGAAAGCCCUAUUGUGUUUUGAAGAAUUAUUAUCAUUAUUAUUUCUCCACUUUAAUCGCACUUUUGAGGCCUUUAUCAUAUUCAAAAACUCUUGAAUGUUGGCGUGCGAAUCAAAAGUGCGAAACAUUGAGAUAUUCUUUGGGUUGCGCAAUUGGGGAUACAAAAAUGGCUCUCUAGCGCCACCUGGAAGUGCUUUCUUUGGGGAAAUUUUCCCCCAGUUUCACUGAUUGACUUGAAAUUUUGCACACAGGUGCUCUUUGAUCUGCUCUACAAAAAAGUCAAUCAUGGUGUGCAAAAGCGCCUAGCAAGAUUGUUGAUAUCUCUUUGGGUUUCGAAGUUAUGGACCAAUGAAGGUUUUAGGGGGUGUGGCCUAAAAGUGAAAGACGUAUAACUUCAAAGGUAUUUGACUUGUCCUCACCAAAUCUCUAGGAUAUGUUCACAUUGAGUCCCUGAGCAUACCCUGAUUCUUUCAGAAUAUUUGAACUUUAGGGGGCGCUGCAGUCGUUCUCUGAAAUUUUGCAUGUUUUUUGCAAUUUCUAUUGUAUUUUGGAUUUACAAACAAACUCCUCCGAGAGUUUAGACCCGAUCCACUUCAUUUUCAGGGAAAAUUGAUUCUGACAUCUGGAUGGUCAAAAGUUAUUAAAAUCAAGAGUUUUUGUGAAACUAGCAGGGCGUGGCUUGACGUCCAUUUUGGUUAAUUUUCUUGAAAACGUAAGAUGUUAUAACUCCAAGGAACAUUUUUAUUUCUGGCCGAAACUUCUAAUUUAUGAUGCUAUCGUACGCCUUAAAGUAUUUCCGCAGUGAUUUUCAAAAAAUUAUAGCGUCACCUAUUGGCUUAGCUAAAUGCAAAAGUUUUACACUUUAAUGUGUAUCUCCUAGCCAUUUAAUCUGAUCAACCUUGAAUAUAAGCCUUAAGGCUUUGAUGAUAGUUCACAGUGUAUAUUGGGAGUUUUCAAGGAAGUAGCCCCAGCGCCCUGUUUGUCCUUCAUAAAAGACAAUUUUUGGACAUAUUCAUGAUAGGGAGACGUAAAAAAAAGUGUCUUGGGACCAUGCUCUAAAAUGAACAGGAAGUCGGUUAAUUUUUUUGUGUGAAAAUUUCCUCUAUUUUAUGCACUUCCUAGAUGCUGUACUUUAAAGAACUCCUCUCUGGGACUUUGUUACAGACUUUUCAAAUUUGGACAAAACGGUCCCAUGGUGAUUAAGUUAUUAAACUUUGUUUUUGUGUUACGCUGUUUGUGUUACGCUCCAAUCUUUAUCAAACUUGGAAAACACAUUAACAGUUAUAGGUGUACUUACUUCAUAUGAUUUCAAUGCUUCCAAACAGCAUUUUGGCUCAAUAGCGCCCCCUACACGUCUUCAUAAUGCAGCCCCAGCAACUGCUGGGAUCUAGGUGCACUCACCUUAAGGCAUCAGCUUUGAUCCAGCUGUACAGAUAUCUCUUCCCUAUCAGCAGAGUAGGCUUGAGAAUAAUCAAGUUGGUCAAGUUGGCUGUGACCGACAUGAGUGGACAUGUUAAAAUACAGGUGUUCUGCAAAGACACAUUCAAUGUGUUCAGUUCGCAAAAUAUAUCUGCCAGACUUAACAAGUUAGUACUUCUUUGUGGAGCAGAAGUGGUGAGAUUAUCUCACGUUCUUUGCCGUGACUGAAUGGAGGUCAUCUUUAUUUACCUUUUGCAGGUCUUUGCACAGCAAGACAAGUGGCACUCAUUGGCACAACUCAAGGCACUCAGUGGCUCUCAUUGGCACAAACUCGUGGCACUCAGUGGCUCUCAGUGGCACAAACUCGUGGCACUCAGUGGCUCUCAGUGGCACAACUCGCGUCAAGUAAGGGGCGGGCGUCGCAACGCCACGCCGAGUGGGCGGAGCCAGGCUUUCCCGGAAAUGGCCGUUGUUUGUGCGACAGGUUAGCUGCCGUAAAGAUGUUUUUUGUAGUUCUUUUUAUUUCAUUGCUGUGUUUUUUGUAUUUAUUUUAUUUUAUUUGACACACUACAUAUUCCCCACCUCUAUCACAAGUCCGACGUAUUCCCCUGGGGGGGUUUGGAAGGGGGGCGCAGACGGGGGUGUUCCGCGGGGGGGGGGGAUCGGCGGUACAGUAGCACAUCAGUGGCAAAAGUGGCAGUUCUGUGGCGUCACGACAGGAAUACUUGUUCUGAACUCGAACUACCAACUCAAGUUUCCAAUUUAAAUAAAACUUUUUUUCUUAAAUGCAGCUCGGAGAGGAGAGAGCAAAAAAGAGAGCAGAGAGAAAGUUGACAUUCCCGAAGCACUUUCAGUGAGUAUGGAGAGCAGUGAUCAAGGUUAACAGAACUUCAGAUCUUCAUGGAUUAGAAUAAAAUGAAUACGAAAAUAAUAUUCAUCCAUUUGAAGAUGUUUAAGUUAAUUUACAAAAACACUUUUGUAAUAUCACUUUAAUAGUUCAAAACGCAGAUGAAGAUUUGAAGUCAGCAGUCCGUGCCUCUGUGGAGGGACAGGUGAAAAAACAAACUCUAAACUGAAUCAAUAUUCAUUUUUUUCUUUUUUGUUUGUUUAUACACUACAUGUGAUGUUUGCCUGCCUCCUUUAGUCUUUGGUUGGACUACUAUAUAAAACAAAAACAAUGUAUGUAAUGGGUAUACAUCUGAAUACUAACUAUAGGAUAUAUACACAUUGUGACAGGGAUGGACCACAGCAGAGUUGAUAGAUUCAGCUGGAGUUGAAUUCACACAGAGACAGAGUCCUAGUAUUGGCUCAAAAACCUACUUUGAAAUAAUAAGAAAAAAGACACAAAUAGGGGCUAAUUCUAAAUAUAUUGAACAAAUGAAAUAUAAAUUCAUUAUCCCCCCAAAAAAGCAAAUAAUAUUAAGAAGUGGAUUUUGUACUGCAGUACUGGUUUUAUUUAAGAAGGCUGCUGCAGGCAAAAUUAUGAGACAGACAAUUUGUGGUCUGUUUUUUUUAAGUGUGAAGUUAAACGAAAUUAAUGACGUAAAUGUUUGUUUGUGAAUUAAUUUCUAAGUAAGGUUUCUAAGUAAGUAGGUGCUAGGAAGUCUGUGUUGAAUGAAGAAAUUAUGGAUUUCUACAACAAUUAACAACAGAUAAAUUACAUUUUUUAAUAAAUUUAGAAAUGUGUAAUACAAUUAUGUAGUUGCUUCGGAUAACUGGACUUUUCAUCUUUUAGAGAAAAGUAUAUCCUGCAAGUUAUGUGAUGAUUCAUUCUCGUUAUGUUCAGUGAAGCAGAAAGCCCAACCAGACCAACAGGUAAUUGUGCUAGAUACAUAGAAUAUAUAUACAGUCUUGUUGAAAUAUAAUGGAUUGCUUUUUUAUUGUUUCAUAUUUUAUAGUCAACGUUUAUUAAAAAUAUAUAUAUUUAAAAUGUAUGCCUUUUUUAUGAUACUCCUUUUCUUCAAAUGCAGAAUGAGGGAAAAAUGAAAAUGCUCGAACACACCUUGUUGGCAGCAACGUGGUUGCAGACAAAAGCAUUUAAGGGGAAGGUAACCUUGCCUGAAAUUACCAACAUGGACAGAGGCAACCAGCUACGAGCAUUGCAAGACCUCAAGAACUCCAUGGAUGAAAAUGAGGACGACGCAGAUGCACCGAUAAAUGUCUUUGUCGUGGAAUUCCAGUACAGAAGUGACUACGAAAUGUUUGUGGCACAGUUUAUUGACAAGGGCAAGGACAAAGUCAAUGCUUUGUUCAAAGAGUGGGACUAGUUCAGUUUUUUAAAUUUAUUUUCAGGUUGUUUUUACAUGUUUAUAUUAUUUAUUGUUAAGUUUCCUUUUGUUUACAUUUGUUAUUUCAUUCAUACAUAUGUAUAUAUAUGAAUGAAAUAACAAAUGAAAUAUUUAUGCUUUCAUGUGUAACUGAAUUUAUGUUCCAAUAGCACUUUUCAUUGAAAACAUAACAGAAUAAAAUAACCUUAAAAAGAGUAUUUUUGGAAUAAACUCUGACAUCUAGAGGUAUUAUUGUGGCAGCUUGGAUAUCCUCUGACAAGUGGCAAUAGGAAAAAUAAGUGCAAGUCCUAGAAUAACAAAACAACAUGCUCAACAAACCCAAUAAAUUGAAAAGCAAAACCCCACUCAAGUCAAUAAAAAACAAGAAACAGCUCGGCAGCCUCUCGGAUCGAGUGGCGCUUUGAGGACGCCUAACAGGUUGCCAAUGAAUUGCCAGAGUGGCCACUGAUGUGCCACUGUGGCCACUGAGUGCCACAAGUUGUGUCACUGUUGCCACUGAUGUGCCACUGUGGCCACGAGUUGUGGCACUGUUGCCACUGUGGCCACGAGUUGUGCCAUUGAGUGCCACUGUUGCCACUGAAUUACACACCGCCGAUCCCCCCCCUGCGUAACACUCCCAAUCCCCCCCGUGCGGAACACCCCCGUCUGCGCCCCCCCCACAAGUAUGUCAUACAUGGCUUGGUCACUGGCACAACCUCUUAAACUAUGUAAUUGCAGACGUUACAUGAUGAAACUACAAUAAAGUGAUGUUGAAUUGAUUGGUUGUGGGACUACUACAACUGUGUGUUGAUUGUCAUCCCAUGUUGUUUGAGCCAUAUAUGCUCUCCAACCUGCUCCUUCAGCAGACUUCUGAGCUUUUAAUGUGGCUCAGACAAUAUAUUAAUAAAAUGAGUAUAAAUGUAGGAUAACUAUAUGAAAAUAAUUUUGGAACUUGGAACCACAAACUGUUGCAAUGUGAAUAAUCUUGCACGUCAGCCAGUGAAACCACUAACCAACCUUUAUGCCUAUGUUAAGGGCUGCAACUAAUAACUAAUUAUUUUUAUAAACUAAAUGAUAAAACAUUAUAUUGACUAACACAAAAAGCAUACACAUGUAUGCUUUACAUCUGCCAAUAUAUAUAGUUAUAUUUUAAAAUGUGCACAAAAACAUGUAGAGGGACCUGAGCUGUCAGAACAAUAUAUAGUUUAUAAAAAUGAAAUACAAAUUAGAAAAAACAACAAACGAUUUGUUUGAACGUCAAAACUUGUUUUCUACACCAGUGAUGUACUUUUUACUUUUUUGGAAUCCGGUCACUUUAUUUUGAAAAAUAAAUUACAUGCGAUUGUCGCUCAUAACAUAUUUUUUUUCCCGCGAUCCGAAGCAAAUAAGGUUGGGGAUUGCUGCUCUACUUUGGACUCACACCCAAACUCUCCCACUCAACUAAACUUUUCCGCAACGUAUUGAGGGGCGUAACUAAUAAUUGCGCAACAAAACCAAUCAAUAUUUGUUGAUGGAAUCAAAGCAACUGACGGUUGAUGCUCUCUUUUAGUUUGCGUUUCAAGUGAGAAAUGUCUGCAUGUACGAUAAGAAAGCUGGCAAUGCAGUCAGGAGAAAGAGGUAAAAGUCCUGUUUCAAAGAUGGGAGGCAUGGUGUGCUGGUUGGGUUGUGUCCAGGAAGCUGGGGGGCAUUAAUCAUUAUUGGUGCACCUUCGUCCUCGACGCACCCAGACAGCCCUUACACCCCUGACAUAAAUCAUCAUUCCCCCACAAUAGAUCCCCUCUCUUUGCCAUGCCAGUGUGCUAGUUGUAUUGAUUUUUCCUUUUUCUCCCUUUGCCUUUCCCGUCUCCUCUACACCCCCUCCCGCAACCCCCUUCACCAAAUGGCUGCAUUGCUGUGUCAUUAUGAAACAUAACUGAUUGAAUAUUCAACUAAGUUUACAAGAGCACUCUACUGUAAUUCUAACUCCCGCCAGGCGCAAAAACACACCACACAUAAACUGUUGAUGCACAAAAAUUAAGCAUGACAGGCAGGGAAAAAAAGAAUGAUAUAAAAUAACAAAGCAACCACAGUGCUAUUAUACUUCUAUUGAUGUGUUUUUGAAGCACACCUAUGCUGACAAAAGAGUGAUCUUUGUAGAGAUUAGGAAUUGAUGUGGAAAAAAGAAGGAAAGAAAGAAGGGGAUGGAGGGAAGUAGAGACGAUGUUGAAGUGAGAAAAACUGGUAUGGGCCUUUGAAAGAUUUGAGGAAGGAGAUGAUUCCAUUUCAAAUGUCUGACCCUGAAGAAUUUAAAUAUAAUAGAGAUGUAAGAUCCUGUUUAUAUGGUUGCUUGACUGAUCAUUAUAAAAUCAUAACUCUGUAGACUCUUUGGCUUGACAUGAUAAAGAAGCUAAGACUGGUAAAGUUUUGAAUGUAACAACAAUCUUUGGAUACAGAUGUUAUGCGUAAACAAUCCUUCAAGUAACUUGCGUACUUAAGUAAUGGGACUUCCAUAGUUAUUUGAAACCAAACAAUGAUCUUUGGUAAAAACUCAACUUGUAUCAACUUUGCUUGGACAUAUUUCCCUGACUUGAUGUUUCUUAUCUAUAUUUUCAAUUAAGUGCAAUUAUAAGGUUCCCGUGGGAAAGAAAUAUACUACAUGUCAGGUUAUUUGGAGAUUUGCAUUUUUUAAACAUUUACAUUGAGGACAGUUUGCAAAGGUGCCACCUAAGGAAGAAGCUGGUACAACACAGCAAUGUGGACAAACAGCGUAAUAUGAGAGGAAACAACACCACCCUCAGUUUUCGGCAGAGGUGGAAAGAGUACUGAAAAUUUGUACUCAAUUACAAGCAAAAGUACUAGUGUUAAAAAAAUACUUAAGCAAAAGUUCAAAGUACUCUUCUCGAAAACUACUCAGAGUACAAAAUACUUUUUAACCGAUGGAUGUUUUAUUGCAUUAUCAAUAGCAGAGAGGCGUUUGAAGAGGAUUGAAGAGGAACAAUGCGGUUUUCGUCCUGGUCGUGGAACAACGGACCAGCUCUUCACUCUUUCCAGGAUCAUAGAGGGGGCUUGGGAGUAUGCUCAUCCAGUCUACAUGUGUUUUGUGGACUUGGAGAAGGCGUAUGACCGGGUCCCCCGAGAGAUACUGUGGGAGGUGCUGCGGGAGUACGGGGUGAGGGGGUCCUUGCUUGGGGCCAUCCAAUCCUUGGAUUGGAUGGCCCCAAGCGAGAGAUGUGUUCGGAAGCUGAGCCGGAAGGCAAAGCUCUCGAUCUACCGGUCAAUCUUCGUUCCUACUGUUAAGGUUUCGGAAGGCUCUCAAGGGAGGCCUCACUCCUUUGUUCUCGUCCCGGCCGGAAACGAGGACACGAGUGAGUCAAUUCGUUUAAAUACAAAAAUCAAAAGUUAUUUAAUAACUGAACAACGUUAUAAGGAAUGCAAUUACAAAGUGAAAUACUAAGCGAACAGUGGAAUAUUUCGCGAAAUAGAGAAUCCUCUGAGCAAGUCUAACGUGACUUAUCAACGCGGCUGCAGGAGAAAAUCUAACAGUCUUUCCCCCGCCAUGGUCCUUUGAAAACUCUUGAGGUGUGUCUUCCUUGGUGCAUUUGAAUGUCAUUGGCCUCUUCUCCAAAGGGUCACCUCCUCCAUUGUCCCUUCCACAUCGAGUGUGAAGCUGCAGCUGUAACCUGAAACCUCUCUGUCCUAGCUGUCCCUCACAUUCCAAUGCACUCAAUGUAGAUACAGUUGGCUUUAUGCCCCAAUGAGUGAAUUUAACAAAGCAUACAUCGUUUAAGUCUUCAUCUUAUAACUAGUACACUUUAAUUACAACAACCCAUCAUUAAAUGAUCCCCGUUCAUCACCCUUCACCAUAAGAUCUAAGACAGUUCAUGUGGUCCAAUUCUCAAGACAUUUGCCUUAGUCGGCUGCCUCGCAUUAAGUUGUUCAUUUAUUACCUGACAGGAGAAAAAACUCCCAAAAAACCCUCUUUGGGGAAAAAAUUGGAAGAAAUCCAUAAAGAACGGCAAUUGGCAUCCGUCCCCAGGUUUUAACAUCACAUUGUAACAGAAUGUAAAUAUGUAGAGUGUUUCUACGAUUUAAGAGACUAUAAACUGUGUUUGAUUCACAUUGUAUUCACUUCAUCUAACAUGUUAAUGUAGUAACUAAUCUAACAUCACACAAACUACAAUUCUAUCACUAAACAUCAUUACACGUACUACAAAUUCUAUGACUAGACAUUCACUUCUACUUAAAACCCUAACACUACCCUCACCUAUGGUCAUGAAGGAUGGGUCAUGACCGAAAGAAUUAGGUCACGGGUACAAGCGGCCGAAAUGGGUUUCCUCAGGAGAGUGGCUGGCGUCUCCCUUAGGGAUAGGGUGAGAAGCUCAGCCAUUCGCGAGGAGCUCGGAGUAGAGCCGCUGCUCCUUUGUGUCGAAAGGAGCCAGUUGAGGUGGUUUGGGCAUCUGGUGAGGAUGCCCCCUGGGCGCCUCCCUAGGGAGGUGUUCCAGGCACGGCCAGCUGGGAAGAGGCCCCAGGGAAGACCCAGGACUAGGUGGAGAGAUUAUAUCUCUGCACUGGCCUGGGAACGUCUUGGGAUCCCGCAGUCAGAGCUGGUAGAUUUGGCCCAGGAAUGGGAAGUUUGGGGUCCCCUGCUGGAGCUGUUGCCCCCGCGACCCGACCCCGGAUAAGCGGUUGAAAAUGGAUGGAUGGAUGGAUAUUUUUGCUUCAUAUUUGUGUGAAACGGUUUUCCUGUCACGGUGUGGUGCACUUCCUGUCUUAUUUUGUAGUUUUCUGCCACUCGUGUCCCCGGGUAACUUCACUUCCUGCCUGGUCCUGUCAUCCCCUAUGAUUGUCGGAUUGUUUCCACCUGUGUCCAAUCACCUGCACCUCCCUUGUGUAUUUAAGCAGUGUGUUUUGUUUGUCACUUGUGGCGUCAUUGUCUCUUGUCACGGAUGUCCCUGUCUAUUGUCUGAAUGUUCCGCUUUCCUGCCUGCCUUUUUUCCCGGCGGUUCAUGUGUGUGUUUUUGCCCUUUUACUUUGUGGGAGUUUUUGACUAUUAAAGUAUUUUUUCAUUAAAAGUCUGUGUUCGAGUCCUGUCUUCCUACCCUAACCCUGACAUUUCCAGUUUAAAUGAGUACUUCCUUUUUGAGGAUUAAAGGGGGUCUGAAGUGUCCAAGCCCCCCUAUAUUCUGCACACUGAACACAGUUUAACCGAUCUCCAUUUUUCGUAUAUGUAUAUAUCAUAUACCAUCUCUGCUCCAGCAAUGAUUCUGAAUAAACAAAUUUAAACAUUUGUUGUCUUUGACCAAAAUAACUGUCUUGAGAGUUUCUUAGCUUUUUAACAAAAUUUAAAGUCCUAAAAUGGGUUCGGUCUUCAGCGGCUGUGCUGUAUGGCAUUCACUGUAGAGAUACGGACAAACAAACCAAUUAAAAAUCAGAAUUUUAGCUAGCACUUUUACACACCCAAAACCCUACAUGGUCGUACACACAGCACACACCGACAAUCCCCAGCCCAUUUUGCGCACUUUCAAUCUCAACUGCGAGCUCAGCGUGUAGGAUUAGCCCAGCGUGGUGAUGGAGGACAGUUGACAGGUGGGAGUGGACGAGCACGAAAGAGAGACUGGACAUUGGUGGCAGAAGUGGGAUUCUCAACCUGGCCGGGAUUAGAUUCUGGAGUUGAGAGGAUAUUAAUGUAAAAUGGAGGGGACAAGUGGGCUCCGGUCCAAUUAUGCUGCACCCUGUCACUGCCAACCAGGGUGCAAACAACAGGAGGAAAGGAUUAAUUGCCUUGGUCUCUGCCGCCACUACAGGCCCAAUUAUGGCAACAUGUUGGCUCAGAGCGCUAGUGCAACCACUGCAGUGAAGGAAGAUUGUGUGAAAUUUUCAGAGUGGUCUUCGGAGGUCAAAAUGAGGGUGGAAAAGGUUGGGUGAGAGGCGUAGGGGAUGAGUUACUGGGUCAGUGUUUAAAUACAGCACUCAUCGUCCAACGUGUUACAAUGUCACGUUUCUUCUAUCAUAGUGUAAGGAAUCGAUAUAUUUAGACCGCCGAUACAAAAAUGACAAAAAUGCAAAUGAAAGUUCUGUGACAAAACAUUUCCAAAACUGUGAUAAUGAUGAUAAUAUGUAUGAUAAAAUAUAUAUAUAUAUAUAUAUUUAUAAAUAUGUUUAAAUUAUAAAUAUGUUUAAAUUAUAAAUAUGUUUAAAUUAUUAUCAUACAUAUUUAAUAACAGAUGAUGCAAAACAGAUAUACUCAAACAACAGUUACUUAACGACUUGAUAAAAUAAACAAAUAAGUAAAGUAAAUAAAUAUAAAUCUA